rnacentral:tRNA from 1 species
GCCGGAGUAGCUCAGGUGGUUAGAGCAGCGGAAUCAUAAUCCGCGUGUCGGGGGUUCGAGUCCCUCCUCCGGUACCA